rnacentral:rRNA from 1 species
GAUGAACGCUGGCGGCGUGCCUAAUACAUGCAAGUCUAGCGAACGGACGAGAAGCUUGCUUCUCUGAUGUUAGCGGCGGACGGGUGAGUAACACGUGGAUAACCUACCUAUAAGACUGGGAUAACUUCGGGAAACCGUAGCUAAUACCGGAUAAUAUUUUGAACCGCAUGGUUCAAAAGUGGAAGACGGUCUUGCUGUCACUUAUAGAUGGAUCCGCGCUGCAUUAGCUAGUUGGUAAGGUAACGGCUUACCAAGGCAACGAUGCAUAGCCGACCUGAGAGGGUGAUCGGCCACACUGGAACUGAGACACGGUCCAGACUCCUACGGGAGGCAGCAGUAGGGAAUCUUCCGCAAUGGGCGAAAGCCUGACGGAGCAACGCCGCGUGAGUGAUGAAGGUCUUCGGAUCGUAAAACUCUGUUAUUAGGGAAGAACAUAUGUGUAAGUAACUGUGCACAUCUUGACGGUACCUAAUCAGAAAGCCACGGCUAACUACGUG